GUUUCUUUACCCAGUUGAAACAUCUGCUUCCCAAAUGUACCCUCCUCAUCCUGCACUGGGAACUGGCUCAAAACUGGAUAGAAGAUUUAAUAGGUCAGGAUUCUGAUUUCAGAAAGAUUUGAAUACCAGCAUGAAGAGCAUCCUUCAUAGAACAGAAGGGAUGCUCAGAAUGUCCAGAAAGCAGCACCCCUGGCACCUGCUGAGGAGGAUGGGGCUUCACAGUCACCUUGCCAAGAGCUCACGAUCCUGAGCACAAGUUGGAUGCUGUGGUUUACUUUCCUAGAGCCAGCCCCCAUUGCAAAACCACACGCCCCAAGGAAAACUAACCUGAGUAAACUGUUGGAUUAAAACAAACUUCAUUGAUUUUUCUUUUCUUUUUUUUUUUUUUUUUUUCNNNNNNNNNNNNNNNNNNNNNNUUUUUUUUUUUUUUUUUUUUUUUUUUUUUUUUUGGUGGCACUGGAAAAAUUUUCAUUUUCCGAGAAUGAACUCAUCCAGGCUCCAAAAUAGCCUGGUACAUUAGAAAUGCAAUUUUCCCAUUAUCUUUCUGCACAAGCCCUGUGAGAAAUUCUAUUCAAAUCACAUUUACAUAAUUCUAAGAAUAGAACAUUCUGCUCUUAAUAUCCAUCCACCCAUCUAUCCAUAAUUUAUGGGUUCACCAAAUAUUUGCCCUUUCUUUCUGAGAGGAAGAAGGAUAUGAGUUCGGACAAGUCUUACUUCAUUACUUGAUGCUAAGCUUAUGAAAGAUUUGGAAAGCAUUCUUAUUAUGAGGCACUUAAAAACUGCUCCUAUGGGCGAUGAAAGAGACUUCCAACACUUCUUUAAUAAUCCGUAUGCCAAACACAAUAUGCUGCAAUAAUAACUUGUUCCCUUGUUUGGGUUGGAGGGGAUCUUAAAGCCCACCCAGUUCCAGCCUCCUGUGUCAUGGGCAGGGCUGCCACCCACCAGAUCAGAUCUAGGGCUCCAUCCAACCUGGUCUUGGACACCUCCAGGGAUGGGGAACCCACAGCUCCUCUGGGCAGCCUGUGCCAGUGAACACCCUUUAUACUUCACCCUUCUGAAGGACUGUUC
rnacentral:lncRNA from 1 species